GUCUCAGGUGUGAACAGGGAGCAGGUGUGUUAAAUUUGGUGUUAUCACUGUUACUCUCUCAUACUGGUCACUGGGAGUUCAACAUGACACCUCAUGGUCUGAUACAAAAGGAGUCAAAGUUCAAAGUUCAAACCCCAAGACCACCAAGCUGCCCCCUGCCACUGCUGGGCCCCUGAGCAAGGCCCUUAACCCUUACUUUUUCUUUCCUGCUUUUACAUGAGAGAUCUACCAGCACUGCCCGACCGGUCCCACCAUCUCAGGGUAAGAGCUCAGUUAUCUCCUUACAACUCUACAAAAGCAAGAAUGGGCUGAAGUACAACUGUCUCUGAGAUUAAACCUGUGAGACAGGCAUCUCAUGGGAAACACAGGUGUGUGCACCAUCAAGGGGCGGAGCCACAGGUUGCCUGUAAUAAAGAGAACUGCACUGUUUCUAAGAGCCUGAUUUCCAACCAGGACUCUUAUUUAAGAGGCAUUUUGGCGAAACUGACAAAAACUGACUGACAAAAAUGUUUCUGCGUGACCAAAAACUGUUCUGCAGUUUCACAAGAAGAAAGACAACUGAACGAUCAAGAUACAGGGUAUAUUCUAAACAUAAGCGUGUGUGUGUGGGUGUGUGUGUAAAGGCUACACUUGAGACAAUAGAUAAUCCCCAAGACAGAGACAUGGCAACACGAUAACCCAGAAAAAACGCAGACAAAUGUACCUAUGAAUGAAAAAACACACUAAAUUGGUCUUAAAUAAUUAAAUUAAGAAAACAGAAAGAAAGAAAUCCAACAAUUUCCAGUUUGGAUCAUUAUGAAAUCCAUUUAAAGCAAACUUACAUUUUCUGGACCAAAAUGUAGACAGCUUUUAUGCUUCGUUCUGUCUACCGAUUGAAAAUGGAUUUAGGAGUCGAAUCUUUCUGCUUCAUCAAACCGGAUUCCUGCUUUUAGAAACUCACAAGCAGCAACAGUGUAAUGACACAAUGAUAAUGGGGGAUCACCAUGAGACCAGGAGCCUGAUCAGUUCCCCAUGCUUUGGUUUUCCUUUGACUAUCAAAGGCGUGUCUCAGGUAGUACUACAGGACUCUACAGCAGCAGUACUUCAGGAGUUACACAUUUCCCCCGUUUUGUGCUGCAACACAAGCGAUAAAAUAAGUGCGAACACGUUUAAUUAUUAACACGUCCUCCAGCAAUGAUGCAGUCUCUGGUUUCUCCCUUUUAUGAUUGUGCAAAUUGCUGUAAUUAGCUUUUAAAGGCAUUGUGACUCUCCAACUCCACUAUUUCACAAAGAUCUUCUGGGUUUUUGGCUGAAUUCGGCUUCCUCGUUCUUCUCAAUCUUCACAUGGGCUCGAGACUUUGUGUCGCAUGUUUAAUCUGUGUGCGCCCAUAUGUUAUGUUAUGUUAUGAAGAUGUAUAUUACUUAGUUGAAAAUGAACGAAUGCUGAUAAGAUGAUAAUGAAUGAGAUGAAAUGUUACAGCAAGUAAAAGCAGUAACCUCAACGACAAAUCUAUACAUCAGGAAACCGUGUAACAUAAAUCAGUCUGUAGGUACAUAUGCUGGAUUUCUGUUUACAGUAUAUAUGUACAUGUGGAAUAUCCUUGGUGUUUUUAGUAUGUGUGAAACAUCUACAGAAUCACUCUGAUCUGUUAAAGGCGUGUUUGUAAGACUCAGUCAGUGGAGUAGGAAGUACUGGGUACUGCUGCUUUAUGGAACUUUUCUUCACAGAAGAUUCCAACCAGACAUCUUGAGGCACCCCACAGAGCUGGCUUUCAUAACCAGUUUGUUCUGCCACUGGUCACCCAGUGUCACUUCCCCAGCAAAGAUACCUUGGACCUCUAAAGACAGGAAAAACAUCCGUAGCAUCCUGGUUAAGACCUGAGAACAUCCUAUUCUGUCCCUCUCUAUAGAGGGUGUGGGUUUUGUAUGAACAGCCCAGCUUGUUGUUUAUUUACACCCCAUAGGACUUUGUAUCUGGGCUAUCUCUACUCCCACCCACUUUAUAGUGACAUGAGUCCCUGAGGGGAUUAGUCUCUGCCCUGCUGAACAACCCCCUGGUUUAAUUGCUCCCUUUUGUGACGUGUUUGCUCUUUGAUAUUAGGUGCUUUAAAAUUGCGUCACUAUUAGAUGUGUAAUAAACUAUGGGUGGUGUGCUGUUAGUGGAAAAUCAACAGGUGAGUGGUUCUCAAAAUAAAGAACAAGUGUACUUUUAUCUAUUUAUAGUUACAUUUAAUGUCACGCUUUAUCAAUGAAACAAGUCACAUACUGUAGGUCGCUGGAGACUUGUUAAAUAAACCUCUCCUUACAGAAA